AUACGUAGGGCGCGAGCGUUGUCCGGAUUUAUUGGGCGUAAAGGGCUUGUAGGCGGUUUGUUGCGUCUGCCGUGAAAUUCCCCGGCUUAACUGGGGGCGUGCGGUGGGUACGGGCAGGCUUGAGUGUGGUAGGGGAGACUGGAAUUCCUGGUGUAGCGGUGGAAUGCGCAGAUAUCAGGAGGAACACCGGUGGCGAAGGCGGGUCUCUGGGCCAUUACUGACGCUGAGGAGCGAAAGCGUGGGGAGCGAACAGGAUUAGAUACCCUGGUAGUCCACGCUGUAAACGUUGGGCACUAGGUGUGGGGGCCGUCCUUGGUUUCUGCGCCGUAGCUAACGCUUUAAGUGCCCCGCCUGGGGAGUACGGCCGCAAGGCUAAA
rnacentral:rRNA from 1 species